rnacentral:rRNA from 1 species
AGUGAACGCUGGCGGUAGGCCUAACACAUGCAAGUCGAACGGCAGCACAGUAAGAGCUUGCUCUUACGGGUGGCGAGUGGCGGACGGGUGAGGAAUACAUCGGAAUCUACUUUUUCGUGGGGGAUAACGUAGGGAAACUUACGCUAAUACCGCAUACGACCUACGGGUGAAAGUAGGGGAUCUUCGGACCUUGCGCGAUUGAAUGAGCCGAUGUCGGAUUAGCUAGGUGGCGGGGUAAAGGCCCACCAAGGCGACGAUCCGUAGCUGGUCUGAGAGGAUGAUCAGCCACACUGGAACUGAGACACGGUCCAGACUCCUACGGGAGGCAGCAGUGGGGAAUAUUGGACAAUGGGCGCAAGCCUGAUCCAGCCAUACCGCGUGGGUGAAGAAGGCCUUCGGGUUGUAAAGCCCUUUUGUUGGGAAAGAAAAGCAGCAGGUUAAUACCCCGCUGUUCUGACGGUACCCAAAGAAUAAGCACCGGCUAACUUCGUG